rnacentral:tRNA from 1 species
AGUAGUGUCGCCUAAUGGUAAGGCAACGGUCUUUGAAACCGUAUAUCUAGGUUCGAUUCCUAGCACUACCGCCA